AAGAGUGUCACAUUAGCAAUGGUGUGUGUCAAUGAACCUGCGCAGGUUUCUUGAAGAAGCUUGAUACUCACCAAGGGUUUGAAGCCAAAUGUGGUGAAACGACGUUGCAAAACCAAUUUAUUUUGUCGCAUUGUGACGUAUCAGAUAAGUGCGAUAGACGGCCAAUUAGGGCCGUGGAGACAAAAGAAGAUGGCGACUGUGCGCCAUGGAGACGAAGUUGUCAGUUUCAAACUCAGACGUUACGGUGUUCUGCUUGAGGAAGCCGACAUUUUUAGUCAGGAAAAAAGAGAUAUAUAUCAAAAGAAGUUGCGGCGUUCUUCUUCGCAUCAGGACAUAGCGUCCCACAACAGCAAUUAAACAGCUCCCCCAAGUGGUGUAAAGAUAUAUUGCAACUUUAAUUCAGUUGACGAUGAAAAAAACAAGUACGAUGAAAUGUCAACUGCCACUCUUCCAAUCCGCUCACGUUGGAGCUUUCAAUUGGGCGAGUUUGACGGGGAAAGGGUCACUGUACAGUUCUUCAGGAGUCUGGAAUGACUGGCCCAGAGAUGACGGUGGAACCCAUGAACAGUUCCUGAAUGCGCUACGCUGUCCUUAGAAGAUGGUGGAGAAACUGCACAAGAAGCUGCCUAUGGCAUGUUCACGCAGGCUUUUGUGGACACCAACAACGCCAACUUCAACUGAGAGCUGGAGCCUGGACUUCAGUGACUCACAAAAGGCAGCACACAUAACCACAGUUUUAUAUGACUUGAGCCCUGAUCCAAGGAGCCUGGAGACUGUUUCUCAGGUCUGGACAUGCACUUCACCCGAGCUGCCACUUCAUGGUUUCUGAGUGACAUUUGAAGGAGUUGAUGGUCAACCAGGU